rnacentral:rRNA from 1 species
GCAAGUCGAACGAACUCUGGUAUUGAUUGGUGCUUGCAUCAUGAUUUACAUUUGAGUGAGUGGCGAACUGGUGAGUAACACGUGGGAAACCUGCCCAGAAGCGGGGGAUAACACCUGGAAACAGAUGCUAAUACCGCAUAACAACUUGGACCGCAUGGUCCGAGCUUGAAAGAUGGCUUCGGCUAUCACUUUUGGAUGGUCCCGCGGCGUAUUAGCUAGAUGGUGGGGUAACGGCUCACCAUGGCAAUGAUACGUAGCCGACCUGAGAGGGUAAUCGGCCACAUUGGGACUGAGACACGGCCCAAACUCCUACGGGAGGCAGCAGUAGGGAAUCUUCCACAAUGGACGAAAGUCUGAUGGAGCAACGCCGCGUGAGUGAAGAAGGGUUUCGGCUCGUAAAACUCUGUUGUUAAAGAAGAACAUAUCUGAGAGUAACUGUUCAGGUAUUGACGGUAUUUAACCAGAAAGCCACGGCUAACUACGUGCCAGCAGCCGCGGUAAUACGUAGGUGGCAAGCGUUGUCCGGAUUUAUUGGGCGUAAAGCGAGCGCAGGCGGUUUUUUAAGUCUGAUGUGAAAGCCUUCGGCUCAACCGAAGAAGUGCAUCGGAAACUGGGAAACUUGAGUGCAGAAGAGGACAGUGGAACUCCAUGUGUAGCGGUGAAAUGCGUAGAUAUAUGGAAGAACACCAGUGGCGAAGGCGGCUGUCUGGUCUGUAACUGACGCUGAGGCUCGAAAGUAUGGGUAGCAAACAGGAUUAGAUACCCUGGUAGUCCAUACCGUAAACGAUGAAUGCUAAGUGUUGGAGGGUUUCCGCCCUUCAGUGCUGCAGCUAACGCAUUAAGCAUUCCGCCUGGGGAGUACGGCCGCAAGGCUGAAACUCAAAGGAAUUGACGGGGGCCCGCACAAGCGGUGGAGCAUGUGGUUUAAUUCGAAGCUACGCGAAGAACCUUACCAGGUCUUGACAUACUAUGCAAAUCUAAGAGAUUAGACGUUCCCUUCGGGGACAUGGAUACAGGUGGUGCAUGGUUGUCGUCAGCUCGUGUCGUGAGAUGUUGGGUUAAGUCCCGCAACGAGCGCAACCCUUAUUAUCAGUUGCCAGCAUUAAGUUGGGC